GAUGAACGCUGGCGGCGUGCCUAAUACAUGCGAGUCGAGCGAACGGACGAGAAGCUUGCUUCUCUGAUGUUAGCGGCGGACGGGUGAGUAACACGUGGAUAACCUACCUAUAAGACUGGGAUAACUUCGGGAAACCGGAGCUAAUACCGGAUAAUAUUUUGAACCGCAUGGUUCAAAAGUGAAAGACGGUCUUGCUGUCACUUAUAGAUGGAUCCGCGCUGCAUUAGCUAGUUGGUAAGGUAACGGCUUACCAAGGCAACGAUGCAUAGCCGACCUGAGAGGGUGAUCAGCCACACUGGAACUGAGACACGGUCCAGACUCCUACGGGAGGCAGCAGUAGGGAAUCUUCCGCAAUGGGCGAAAGCCUGACGGAGCAACGCCGCGUGAGUGAUGAAGGUCUUCGGAUCGUAAAACUCUGUUAUUAGGGAAGAACAUAUGUGUAAUUAACUGUGCACAUCUUGACGGUACCUAAUCAGAAAGCCACGGCUAACUACGUG
rnacentral:rRNA from 1 species